rfam:Oryza sativa Japonica Group DNA, chromosome 3, cultivar: Nipponbare, complete sequence.
AAUAAGUGCAGUUUUAACAUUGUUUAUGCUCAACGUUUAAUCGUUCGUCUUAUUUGAAAAACAAUUAUGAUUAGUAUUUUUAUUGUUAUUAGAUGAUAAUACAUGAAUAGUACUUUAUGUGUGACUAAUAUUUUUAAUUUUUUUUAUAAAAUUUUUAAAUAAGACAAGACGGUCAAAACACUAGACAUGGAUAUCUAUGGCUGCAUUUAUU